rnacentral:rRNA from 1 species
AUUGAACGCUGGCGGCAUGCUUUACACAUGCAAGUCGAACGGUAACAGGCCUUCGGGUGCUGACGAGUGGCGAACGGGUGAGUAAUGCAUCGGAACGUGCCCAGAGGUGGGGGAUAACGCAGCGAAAGCUGUGCUAAUACCGCAUGUGAUCUGAGGAUGAAAGCGGGGGACCAGGCAGCAAUGUUUGGCCUCGCGCCUUUGGAGCGGCCGAUGUCAGAUUAGGUAGUUGGUGGGGUAAAGGCCUACCAAGCCGACGAUCUGUAGCUGGUCUGAGAGGACGACCAGCCACACUGGGACUGAGACACGGACCAGACUCCUACGGGAGGCAGCAGUGGGGAAUUUUGGACAAUGGGCGCAAGCCUGAUCCAGCAAUGCCGCGUGCGGGAAGAAGGCCUUCGGGUUGUAAACCGCUUUUGUACGGAACGAAAAGGCUCUGGCUAAUACCUGGGGCUGAUGACGGUACCGUAAGAAUAAGCACCGGCUAACCACGUG